rnacentral:rRNA from 1 species
UACGUAGGGGGCAAGCGUUAUCCGGAUUCACUGGGUGUAAAGGGAGCGUAGACGGCGAGACAAGUCUGGAGUGAAAGGCCGGGGCCCAACCCCGGGACUGCUCUGGAAACUGCCUGGCUGGAGUACAGGAGAGGUAAGUGGAAUUCCUAGUGUAGCGGUGAAAUGCUUAGAUAUCAUGAAGAACUCCGAUCGCGAAGGCAAGUGUCCGGGGUGCAACUGACGCUGAGGCUCGAAAGUGCGGGUAUCAAACAGG